rnacentral:rRNA from 1 species
GUAGGUGGCAAGCGUUGUCCGGAAUUAUUGGGCGUAAAGCGCGCGCAGGUGGUUCUUUAAGUCUGAUGUGAAAGCCCCCGGCUCAACCGGGGAGGGUCAUUGGAAACUGGGGAACUUGAGUGCAGGAGAGGAAAGUGGAAUUCCACGUGUAGCGGUGAAAUGCGUAGAUAUGUGGAGGAACACCAGUGGCGAAGGCGACUUUCUGGCCUGUAACUGACACUGAGCCGCGAAAGCGUGGGGAGCAAACAGGGAUUAGAUACCCUGGUAGUCCACGCCGUAAACGAUGAGUGCUAAGUGUUGGGGGGGUUUCCCGCCCCUCAGUGCUGCAGCUAACGCAUUAAGCACUCCGCCUGGGGAUACGGUCGCAAGACUG